GGGAGCUCUCCCAUAUGGUCGACCUGCAGGCGGCCGCGAAUUCACUAGUGAUUCGUAUUACCGCGGCUGCUGGCACGGAGUUAGCCGGAGCUUAUUCUCCCGAUACUGUCAUUAUCAUCUCGGGUAAAAGAGCUUUACAACCCUAAGGCCUUCAUCACUCACGCGGCAUUGCUGGAUCAGGCUUUCGCCCAUUGUCCAAUAUUCCCUACUGCUGCCUCCCGUAGGAGUCUGGGCCGUGUCUCAGUCCCAGUGUGGCUGAUCAUCCUCUCAGACCAGCUAAGGAUCGUCGCCUUGGUGCGCCUUUACCACACCAACUAGCUAAUCCUACGCGGGCUCAUCCCUCGGCGAUAAAUCUUUGGACUUACGUCGUCAUCCGGUAUUAGCAGUCAUUUCUAACUGUUAUUCCGAACCAAGGGGCAGAUUCCCACGCGUUACGCACCCGUGCGCCACUAAGGCCGAAGCCUUCGUUCGACUUGCAUGUGUUAGGCAUGCCGCCAGCGUUCGUUCUGAGCCAGGAUCAAACUCUAAUCGAAUUCCCGCGGCCGCCAUGGCGGCCGGGAGCAUG
rnacentral:rRNA from 1 species